UGUACCUUGGCUUUCCCUCAGAUGACAUGAA
rnacentral:piRNA from 1 species